rnacentral:lncRNA from 1 species
AUUCUCGUGCCUCAGCCUUCUGAGUGGCUGGGGUUACAGGCAUGCGCCACCACGCCUGGAGAACUUUUUCUUUAUACGUUAAAAUUAAAGAAGUUUUUUUGUGUUUUUAGUAGAGACGGGGUUUCACCAUGUUGGCCAGCCUGGUCUUGAACGCCUGACCUCAGGUGGUCCACCCGCCUCAGCCCCCCAGAGUGCUGGGAUGACAGGCUUGAGCCUCCGCGCCCGGCUCAUAGUCACUUUUAACGGUUACGUUAAGUGUAAAUUUUUAUUUUCCUGGCCAACAUAUUAGUAAGGUGGAAGGUGUGUCGUAGCCCCUACCUGGGCCUUACUAUGCUUUUAGAGGAUUAAAAAAAAAAAAAAUCUUUCUAUCCUUUCUCCUUUUGUUUCUGUCUUCCUAAUUUCCUUUUCCAGCUCUUUCUUUCUUUCUUUGUUUCUUUCGUUGUUUCUGUGUUUCUUUCGUGGUUUCUGUGUUUCCUUGUAUUUUGUCUUUUUUUGCGACAGAGUCUCACUCUGUCACCCAGUUCUGUGUUUCUUUCGUGGUUUCUGUGUUUCUUUCAUUGUUCCUGUGUUUCUUUCGUUGUUUCUGUGUUUCUUUCGUUGUUCCUGUGUUUCCUUAUUUUUAUUAUUAUUAUUUUUUGAGACAGUCUCACUCUUUCACCCAGGCUGGAGUACAAUGGUGUGAUCUCGGCUCACCGCAAUCUCUGCCUCCCAGGUUCAAGUGAUUCUCCUGCCUCAGCCUCCUGAGUAGCUGGGAUUACAGGCGCGUGCCACCGCGCCCAGCUAAUUUUUGUAUUUUUAGUAGAGACGGGGUUUCAACAUUUUGGCCAGGCUGGUCUCAAACUCCUGACUUUGUGAUCCACCCGCCUCGGUCUCCCAAAGUGCUGGAUUACAGACAUGAGCCACCGUGCCCGGCCUCUGUCUGUGUUUCUUUGUUUCUCUCUCUCUCUCUGUCUCUCUUUCUUUCGUUCUCUCUCGCUGUUUCUUUCUCUCUGUCUCUCUGUCUUUGUGUCUUUCUUUCUAGACGGAGCCUUGCUCUGUCGCCAGGCCAGAUAGUGUUUAGUACCGAAUUUUAUUUUCUCCAUUUUCUGUCUUUUUCUUCCUUCCUUCCUUUCUUUCUUCUUCUUUUUAUUUUUUUUUUAAAUUUUCACCUUGAUGCAGGUGGGCGAACGCUGAAAAAGGCAUUAGCCUCUUCUUUCUUUCUUUUUUUCUUUCUUUUUCUUUCUUUCUUUCUUUUUCUUUCCCUCCUUCCUCCCUCCCUUCUGUCCUUUUAUCUGUUCCUUUCCUUUAUUCUUUCUUUCUUUCUUUGUCUUUUAUACUUUCUUUUUUCCUCUCUUUCGCCCUUCUUUCCGUCAUCUCUUUCCUCAUUCUUUCUCUUUUUCAUCUUUCUUCAUUUUCCACCUUUCAUCAUAUACCUUCUCCAGAUUUUUUAAAUUCUGUCUGUUUUCUCCAUCUCCUUCCUCCCCGCUCCCUGCUUGCUUUCUUCCCUCCCUCCUUCCUCCAUCUCUCUUUUUUCUAUCCCCUCCCUCCCUCCCUCCCAUCCCCCACCCCGUGUGGAUUGUGAACGUGUCCUCAUUCGGCGUCUCUCUGUCACCUGAACGACUCGCGCCCGAGUCCUGUGUGUUCUUUCUCCCUCCGAGAUGCAUCUCCAAACACCCACACGUCAUGGGCUUGUCUUUUGACUCUGUCUCGGUCUACGCAGAUACACGUUUGGAGGAGCGUUUCUGUGGGGUUGGGGUGGAGGGGCUGUGUUUUCGGCCUCGGGAAGACUUUCUCGACUCACGGUUUCGGUUUUGCGGUCCGCCGGCCGCCCUGCCAUCCGGAUGUGUCUCGGUGACAGGUUUGGGAUGGUGACAUGUCGCCGGUUUUCGGGCUCCAUCUGGUGGCCGCUUUUAUAUGGUUCUCCUGGCUUCCAGAGCUCCGGUGGCAGCUGCUGAGCGAGGGGAGCGUCCCUGCUGUGAGCUAGGCAGAGCUCCGGAAAGCCUGCGGCUGUCAGCGGGGCUGUCCCUGUGGCGCCAGAGCUCUGGCGAGUCACUUGUGAGUCAGAGCACGGGCGUGCAGGGCUAUAUAGGGGCAGGCUGUCGCCGAGUUUCCAGGCCCGAGCGAGGUGUGCGGGCUGCCGGGGCUGGUCGACCAGCACGCCGUAGCUCCCGAG